rnacentral:ncRNA from 1 species
GGUUUCACCUCACCCCAGUUAGAAUGGCUUACAUACAAAAUCCUUGGGGCCAAAACAAUAUUAACCUAUUCUCAAACUUUAAAUGCGUAAGAAGCCCGUCUCGCUGGCAUGCAGCCAGGCAUGGAAUGCGAGUGCCUAGUGGGCCACUUUUGGUAAGCAGAACUGGCGCUGCGUGAUAAACCGAACACGGGUUAAGGCACCCCAUGCUGAUGCUCAUCAGACUCCAGAAAAGGUGUUGGUUGAUAUAGACAGCAGGACGGUGGUCAUGGAAGUAGAAUCCGCUAAGGAGUGUGUAACAACUCACCUGCUGAAUCAACUAGCCCUGAAAAUGGAUGGCACUAGAGCGUCUGGCCCAUACCCAGCCGUUGCUGGCAGUAGGCACGUGGUGGGACCUCUGUGUCCCUGGCCACCCCACCCCCCCAUGGACGCUACACCGCCAUGAGUA